rnacentral:rRNA from 1 species
GAUGAACGCUAGCGGCAGGCCUAAUACAUGCAAGUCGAACGGCAAGAUUUGGUAGUAAUACUAAAUCCUAGAGUGGCGCACGGGUGAGUAACGCGUACAUGACAUACCUAUAAGCGAGGGAUAGCAUUGGGAAACUGGUAGUAACCCCUCAUGUGAUUAUUUGUAAUAAAGGUAAAUAAUUAAAACUACGGUGCUUAUAGAUUGGUGUGCGUCUGAUUAGCUAGUUGGCGAGGUAACGGCUCACCAAGGCGACGAUCAGUAGGGGGCGUGAGAGCGUGAACCCCCACACGGGUACUGAGACACGGACCCGACUCCUACGGGAGGCAGCAGUAAGGAAUAUUGGUCAAUGGAGGGAACUCUGAACCAGCCAUGCCGCGUGCAGGAUGAAAGCCCUCUGGGUUGUAAACUGCUUUUAACAGGGAAGAAAAUGCUAUACGCGAUAUAGUACUGACGGUACCUGAGGAAUAAGCACCGGCUAACUCCGUGCCAGCAGCCGCGGUAAACACG